rnacentral:tRNA from 1 species
GGACAGGUGGCCGAGUGGUUUAAGGCUCUGGUCUUGAAAACCAGCGUGGGUGCAAGCCCACCGUGGGUUCGAAUCCCACCCUGUCCGCCA